CCUUCAAUCCUAAGUGUAUAUUUUGUUAACAAAAAUUGUUAGAUGAUCAUAUGGUUUUUUAUUUUUAUGGUUUCAAGGAAAUUGCUAGGUUUCAAUUAAAGCAUGUGCAAUUGUUGUUGAUAUUUAUGUGACUGUGUUGGUUAAACUUAUAUUGUUUUGAGUUUCACUUGGUUGCUGUAGCAUUUUCUUUUUCUAGUGUACCUUGUUUAACAUACUAUAUGAAUAUUUCAGAAGGUAGAUAUUCCAACAUAAGUAAAUGAACAGUAAGUUUUAUUCACAAAUAUAAAUUGAGUUACCUUGUUGUGAUGUUGUGAUUGUUUUGAAUUACUCUAGUGUGGUUCAUGUGAUUUUUCAUCUAAUAUGUAUCAAAUUGAUAAUGUUCAUGUUCUAAAUUUGUUGCAAUGAUAUAUAUAUGCUGCUUAACCAAAUACAAAUAUGAAUUGGUGUAAUAAAUUAACAUUAAGAUAGUACAACUUAAGUACAUUUGAUUCUUUUUAUAAUAAAAUAAGACCACUUAUAAAUCUAAUAUCUGGUCAACUCUACUUUAUGCCAGUUCAUCAUUUACUCAUUCAAUUAAACUUAUCGCUGCAAGAUAUCUAGAUCAUAAAACAGACAGAUGGUGACAAAAAAGCCAGAUAAUGGAAGACCACCGAAAAAACAUAACUCUUAUAAAUCUAAUUUCUGGUCAAUUCUACUUUUUAGCAGUUCAUCUUUUGCUUAUUUAAAAAAAUUACCAUUGCAAGAUAUACAGAUGAUGACAAAAAAAAACCUAGAUAAUGGAAGACCACCGAAAAAAGGCCAGCUAAUCAAGAUGCUAUACCGGAGAAGGUGGAGACAGCAAAGCCAGGAAGAUCACGACAAAUAAUUUCGAUGCAGGCAAGAAAACCAAUCUUGGGGUAUUCAGCAAAGCAUCACCGAUGCUGUACCAAUGCAGAUCGACGAAGACAAAUAAGCAAUGCAGACAAACCAAUCUGGGAGUAUUCAGCGAAGCAGCACCGAUGCCGCACCAAUGUAGAUCGAUGAAGACAAAUAAGCAAUACAGAACUUGAUCAUGUACUUUUUAAUAUAUAGGCCUUUCUACCAAGCAUCCUUUGUAACCGAAUCAAACUUGGACUCUUUGUUUAAAUAUUUGGAUAUCUAGUACCGUACAAAACUAUAGCAUAAACGAAAUUGGACUCUUUGUUUACAUA